UCUGGGCUUUUUAUUGAAACCAGGCAGUCAAAAAAAUUCCAGUUCUAUUGGAAAAAGGACACGAGGAUGGUUUUUGCCUGUGUGGCAAUUUUCUUCUUCUUGCUCCCGGCGACAGCCUAUUCUUCUGCAGGACUUGAACAAUAAAGGUCUCAAACAAAGGCAGGUCUCACAGCUGGGGAAAGGACGCUUGAGGUCAGGGUUCCUUCCUUAACCCCCAGUGAGGUCAGUGUCAUGGGUUGUGCUGGUCCUGCUUUCCUGGGUGAGACUCUGCAGAGCCUGUGGGAGCUGCUUCACCAAGCCCAGGGGGAAAGGAAUUACAAGAUCUCCUGCAGUAUGGGGUUCACAGUGCUCUCAGACCAUUGGGAUUCAGCCCCUCAUGCUGCAGAGAGGCUGCUUCCACCAAGGCCCAUGUCAGCCCUGGGCUGAGGGACUCCCUCCACCACUCUAAUCUGACUCCUCUGCUUAAAAGUAAUUUUUAAGCCACAAUUUUAGACUUCCUGACUGUGUGGGGAUUUUUUAAACAACAUUUUCUAAGCCAAAUCCAUCAAAUUAGGAAAACUCACACAUACAGAAAUGCACAAAUAUAUAUUCUGUAUGCAGUUCUGACCACUCAAUAACACUUUUUUUCCCCCCCUUUGGACUCCACACACCCUCUUUAACAUGGAAAACCCAUUUGUCUACCUCACUGGAUACUGAGUGGAUAAAUACAUUAACUGCUUUGCAGCACGUUGGCCUGGUUUAUUCCUAGUCAGGAACCUCAGCAUAUCUGCACUUCAGCCAGACUCUGGGAAAUCAGUGAACCACGUAAACCACAGCACCGUGGGGAGACUGAAAUGAGCUAAUGCUCAGCUCAUACAAACCACGUGGUUAUUGAAACGCAGGAAAAGAAACUGAUGACAGAGCCAGGUAAAACUGGCACAAUUCAGUGUAUUUGUGGAGUUAAAACUCCUAUUUUCCAUGGCAAGGAAAGCACUGCAAUAAGAGACAGAUUAUCCAGUCUCAUAUGUGAGUUCAAGAAGAGGGCUGCAGUUUGGGGGGAAAAAGCUUCUAAGAGCAUGGGCUCAACUCCAAAGAAAUUGGUCUCGAUUUAGUGAAGAGGCUUGGACGUGUGUGAAACCCAAAUGAAUGGGCAGCAGGACCAGG